CCUACGGGGUACUGCAGUGAGGAAUAUUGGUCAAUGGGCGCGAGCCUGAACCAGCCAAGUAGCGUGAAGGAUGACUGCCCUACGGGUUGUAAACUUCUUUUAUAAAGGAAUAAAGUGAGGCACGUGUGUCUUUUUGUAUGUACUUUAUGAAUAAGGAUCGGCUAACUCCGUGCCAGCAGCCGCGGUAAUACGGAGGUUCCGAGCGUUAUCCGGAUUUAUUGGGUUUAAAGGGAGCGUAGAUGGGUUGAUAAGUCAGUUGUGAAAGUUUGCGGCUCAACCGUAUAAUUGCAAUUGAUACUGGCAGUCUUGAGUACAGGUGAGGUAAGCGGAAUUCGUGGUGUAGCGGUGAAAUGCUUAGAUAUCACGAAGAACACCGAUUGCGAAGGCAGCUUACUAAACUGCCACUGACAUUGAUGCUCGAAAGUGUGGGUAGCAAACAGGAUUAGAUACCCUUGUAGUC
rnacentral:rRNA from 1 species